rnacentral:tRNA from 1 species
ACGGGCAUAGCUCAACUGGUAGAGCGGCGGUCUCCAAAACCGCAGGCUGGGGGUUCAAGUCCUCCUGCCCGUG